UAAUAAGCCGUAGAUCGGACGCGCGUAUAAGCAGUCCGGUAUUCGAUUAAACACUUAAGAAGCGUUCCCCGUUUGUGGUUGGUCUGUAUUACGAGUGCGCGCGAGGAAAUUCCAUGUUGUAUCGCUUCUGGAGUUGAGACACUGAAACGUUUACUUAGCGUAGACGGUGCCUUAGCGGAACAACGCGGCACUCGUAAACAAUUGUUGCCCGAUUCGAUACCGGCGAUCAUAGAACAAUUUUGUUUACGUACGGUUUUUUUUUCUCGCAAUUCGUUUCUUGUAACCUACCCGACGUGGUUUCGCACAACAGCUCAAUGAUCAGUCAAGUUUAAGUUUCGAACGAGAAUGGCUUGAAAUUAAUACCAUUGAUAACAGCAUUACGAUACGAUACUUCUAUGCGCGCA